rnacentral:rRNA from 26 species
CAAAUGACUCUCGGCAAUGGAUAUCUCGGCUCUUGCAUCGAUGAAGAACGUAGUGAAAUGCGAUACUUGGUGUGAAUUGCAGAAUCUCGUGAACCAUUGAGUCUUUGAACGCAAGUUGUGCCCGAGGCCUUGUGGUCGAGGGCACGCCUGCUUGGGUGUCAUGAC